rnacentral:lncRNA from 10 species
CAAGAUCAUGUAGCUGUUCUUAAAAGCUUUGUUAUUUUGCUUUUCACAUUUAGAUAAAUGAUGCACUUGGAAUUGAUUUUUUAUGUAUGAUAUGAGUAGGAGUCAGGAUUCAUCCUGGUCCCAAGUGGGUACCCAACUGACCUGGAUGUUCAUUGAAAAGGCAGUGGGUUGCAGAGUUUGGCUUGCAUAGCUCUCACUGGGAGGCAGCACGGUGUCAUCGGAGGAGUUCCUACUGGGCUCUAGUCCCAACUCUGCUACCAGCUCACUGGUUCUGUGACCCUGGGCAGGUCACCACAGCUGUCUCUGUUUACCCAUAUGUAAAAUGAGGUUAAAUUAGAUCAUCUUCAUUGUUCCUUGCAGACGCAUAAGAUCAGGCAGAAGUGAUGUCAGACUCCAAAUAUGACAUGAUUACUUCUGGGACCUCAGGGAGAGUAUUUAACUUAUCAGAGUCCCAAUUUCCUUACCUAAAAGAUGGGAGCAAUUGUGCCCAUAUCUAGGGCUGCUGAAAAACAAGAAAGAAGAUGUACAUGAAGUUCUGUACUUGGCACAUUAUGUUGUUCAACAAAAGAACGUUAGCUCCAUGGGAGCAGGAGCUUUGUUUAAUUUACCUUGUAUCUCAGCACCUAGAAGAAUGCCUGGUACAUGGCAGACAUUCAGACAUAUGUAUACCCAAGGACAUAUACCAAACAGAAUAGUGUUAUAUCUCUGGGGCAGAAAGAAAUGAGGAUGAAAGAAGAAAGAGAAAAAUUAUCAACGAACACCGAAGCAGCUCUUACAAGGAAUGAUGAACUGAAGAUGAUGCUAUGAAAACUUAAUGCUUUGUUCCUGAGAGGCAGUGAAUAAAUACCAAAUGAAUAAAA